rnacentral:rRNA from 1 species
AUUGCACAAUGGGGGAAACCCUGAUGCAGCGACGCCGCGUGAGCGAUGAAGUAUUUCGGUAUNUAAAGCUCUAUCAGCAGGGAAGNNCCNNNCNGUACCUGACUAAGAAGCCCCGGCUAACUACGUGCCANNNGCCGCGGUAAUACGUAGGGGGCAAGCGUUAUCCGGAUUUACUGGGUGUAAAGGGAGCGUAGAUGGCGGUGCAAGCCAGAUGUGAAAGCCCGGGGCUCAACCCCGGGACUGCAUUUGGAACUGUGCUGCUAGAGUGUCGGAGAGGCAGGCGGAAUUCCUAGUGUAGCGGUGAAAUGCGUAGAUAUUAGGAGGAACACCAGUGGCGAAGGCGGCCUGCUGGACGAUGACUGACGUUGAGGCUCGAAAGCGUGGGGAGCAAACAGG